GAUGAAGAACGUAGUGAAAUGCGAUAAGUAAUGUGAAUUGCAGAAUUCAGUGAAUCAUCGAAUCUUUGAACGCACAUUGCGCCCCCUGGCAUUCCGGGGGGCAUGCCUGUCCGAGCGUCAUUACAACCCUCAAGCUCAGCUUGGUGUUGGGCCCCGCCGCCCCGGCGGGCCCUAAAGUCAGUGGCGGUGCCGUCCGGCUCCGAGCGUAGUAAUUCUUCUCGCUCUGGAGGUCCGGUCGCGUGCUCGCCAGCAACCCCCAAUUUUUUUCAGGUUGACCUCGGAUCAGGUAGGGAUACCCGCUGAACUUAAGCAUAUCAAUAAGCGGAGGA
rnacentral:misc_RNA from 1 species